CCUGUGAGCGCAAUCAGC
rnacentral:misc_RNA from 1 species